AUUUGCUGAACACACAUUCUCAUGUCAGCCUACUGCAACUUGCAAGUUGAUGCAACGUAAAAAAAAUCAUGAACACAUGAACGCGCUACCCAACACACACAGCAAGUGAUCGAGAGAGAAAGAAUCAGAAAAUCGGCAUCUUCGAAGGUGCCUCUGCGGUCGUAAGCAGCACAAAAGGCAGAAAAAAAACAAAUUCUCUCUCGCUCACAUGCCGUUCAAAUCGAAUGGAAGAAAAGCUGUGUGCGUUAACAUAGGUAGUCACAAUUUCACCACAUACAUAAGACAUACGUAACACUCGGGAAGAAAACUUCCAAAAAAGUUGGUACAAAAUGAACUACUCGAAAGUCCCAGCCUCUGAUAAAACGUCUGUUUGAGUAGUUUAUGAAGGCAGUGUACUUUUGCCGCCCUGCAUGUAUCUCGUUCCCACUCGAAGAAUGCUUCAUACAUUUUGUAAACAACUGUUUGACAGUUUUUUAGAAAAUUUUGUUUGGGGCUCGACUAAAGGCGAUGAAGUAUUCUUCUGUUCGUGCAAAACGAUUGGUUAUUCUAAAGACAAAUCUUAUGAGGCUGCGAAUGAAUAUCAAACAUAUAAGCCAAUGAAACUAGUUUCAAAGUUCGUUUCGUACUUAUGGUCUGCUUGAUGUGCUAGUUUGCAUGCAAACGCUGCGAUAAAGAAGUUGGAAGCAAUAUGUUCGCCAUGUGUAACCAAGGUGUCCAGGCCAGUUAAUGGAAUCCUUCCGGUUUUGUUCAUGAAUUCGAUUGGUUUCCGAAAUAUGCUUGAAAAAUUUCGUAAUGUGUCGGUGAUUACGACGACAUGAAUGUCGGAGAAGAAGGACGCAAGAAUCUGAUCGAUUGUUUCGAACUGGCACCGGAACCGAAGAGUGACGUUGGUAUCAAAGACGAAGCUAUUGUCAAUGAAACGGAGAGGGACGAGAUUGCGGACGAUGAUCGAUUUCAGGAUGCUGUAGAGUAAAUUUACUAACUUGAGAAAUUACACAUCUUGCUAUUGUGCUUAUACACCAAUAAACAUUAAACCACGGUCCUAAAACUGAAAAUCGUGCACCAUCUGCCCACACAUUAUUUUAUUAUUUGCCAAAUAUUGUUACACACUUAGAAAUUUUCUACUGGAUGAGGUUUGAUAAAAUUUUCAAGAGUUUCAAGACGCACUAUACUGAAAGGAGAUUAUGCG